GACUGGGGCCUGGCCUGGUUGCUAGGGGACAGGGUGCUAGGAUUUCCUGUUGGGCGCCCGGAGAUGACGUCUGGCGCUCCGCGGAGCUGCUGCCAAGAUGGUGUCGGUGACUCUCGCUACUUCAGAGUGGAUCCAGUUUUUCAAAGAUGCUGGAAUUCCAGCCGGACCAGCUGUCAACUAUGCUGUUAGCUUUGUGGACAACAGGAUUGUUAGUCUGUGGAAUUCCCUUCCCCUAUGGAGUCUGGGGUCAUCGAAUUCAUUCAAAACUGAGG